rnacentral:sRNA from 1 species
GAGAAAUACUUAAGCAAGAGCAUACACUGUAGUAAUACAUCUGAAUUUCUGCAGCGACACCCUAGUAUUCACAUUUACAGAACGAACAUGACAAAAUAAGAAACAGCAGCUGGGAUGGCAGCAGCCACUUUACAAGCUUUGUGUGCAUCUCUGAUGCAUACACACUUCUCCUGGAUUUCAGGCCAUGGCAUUAUGUAGUUGUCACAUACUCCACACUUGAAUUAUGAGCAGCAUGAAGAACUGCUCACCAUCCUCUCAGCUGGUCUCUGGUUGAGAACCAUUCCAGCCGGUGUGUCUUGAGCCUGCUGUCCUUGAAGCAAUCUCUUUGCUGAAAUCAGAUUAAGAAUGCAAAUUCGCUUAGAAAUUAGCAGAAGCAGGCUGUGUACAUUUUUGUACACCAAAUAACCAACCAGCUCUGUCGGCGUACAGAAAUCCACUGCGGAAAUGAUUUGUGAUCUAAACUCACCGAUCUCGUGGAAUACAUCGUUCACAUUGAUCGCCGUUUUCGCAGAUGUUUCCAUGAAGAAAAGGCCAUUCUCUUGUGCGUAGGUCUUUGCCUCCUGCACCAUACAAAUUAGAGCUUUUGAUAAGCAUCAACAAAGCAAGCCGCAGAGGCUGUCAUAAUGGAAAAGAAAUUCAUUUCAAGAACAGGAUAGUGCCACAAACACAAAAGAUGUUAUUCUGUGCUAUUCACUAUCACAACAUACUGAUAAUUCAUCGUCAAAUGUGACAGGAGAAAAAUACAGUAAUUUGAAGCUGGUAAGGCCAAAUUAUACUUUUGCUCGAAGCAAUGAGGAAAAUAAGCACCAUUAUGAGAUGCUAGUGACAAAUAUCAAAUCACAGUGACAUGAUAGUUUCAUGCAGAAAUGCACUAGUGCUUUGACAUAUAAUCACAAAAAAAGGGAUUUGAGAAGCAAAAUUACAUACUUCUGCUGGCACCUGCCUCGCCUCUACCAUAUCAGCCUUGUUACCAGCAAGAGCCAUUAUCGUGUUUGGGUUUCCUGUAUAAAAAGAAGUUAACUUGUAUUAGCUGGACUAUUAAAAAAACAGACACGAUGUCUUAUAGUGCUAUGAAAUUGCAAGUUCACUUAUAAGAGAACUGUACAGUACAGGUGGUCCAGCAGUUGUACAAAAUCAAUAUAGCUGCUUAUUUACAGAUGUUCUAAUCAUACGUGAAAAUUACAAAAAGAGAAAUGGAUUACCUUGCGCUUGAAGUUCUUGAACCCAUUUUUUUGCACGUGUGAAAGAGGCCUAAAAGGCAGAAAAUAAUGAUGAGAACCA